GACAGCUCACUUAUUGAAAGUGUUUCUUGAAACAAAGUACUCCAGUAAAUCACUGGCUCAAUCAGGGUGAGCAGAACAGAGUGGAACAGUGUGAGCAGGGGGCUGGCAUCUCAUUCAGUGGUACCUGGGUGAUUCCCUCAGGCUGGAAGAGCAGGGUGAGCAUCACCCUGCACUGAGCACCAUAGGCACUUCCAGGAUCAUUUAAAAACCUGACUGAAUGGAAACUAUUAAAAUACAUUUUACUACUAAUUAAGAGGUGAAAGUUUCUGUGCAUGGAUUCUAUAUGGAAUGAACGCAAUAACUCCAGGAGAUGGCAUAUUUCAUAAUAAUCUAUUCAAUGUGGAUAUAAAGGCUCCUGGUAGCAUGUUGUAUCUGAAAAUGCCUUGAGGGCUUACCAGGCUUCUGAUAUGCAACCAUAACUCACUUUCCUGACCUCCCUCUCUUUCUAUGGAGGUCUUAUUCAUUUUUUGUCUUUUUAAAAGAGAUAAUUAAAUUUUUAACCCUUUUAAUCUCAUUCCCUUUGACAACUUUUAUUCCUUUUGUUCUUUUUACUGUGAACAUAAAGGACAGGAUUUAAACAAGUGAAGAGGGCAGA